GGUGGGGUCGCAUAGAGGCCUAGUGCGACGGUCUUGAAAACCGUUAGGGUCGCAAGACCCUCGUGGGUCCGAAUCCCACCCCCACCG
rnacentral:tRNA from 1 species